rnacentral:lncRNA from 1 species
AGGUGGGAAAACUGGAAAGAUUGAAUGUCCUUUGGAGUUCACAGAGGUUUGGCAGUGGGAGGAGAAAAACAAAACGAAGCAUAGUGGGAGUGUUGAACAGACUUUCCCAAGAUCCCCAGAUCCUGAAAUUCAAGAAAAUCUUUGCCAAAGUAUUAGCUGAGUGCAAGCUAAGGUAUCAAAAUAGUGAAUACACACACCAAGGAAUAAUCUUUGCAAAAAUACUUUGUCUCAAGACAAAUAGAACACAACAGACUUUAAUAAUCAAAACAGAAACACCAACAUAGAGAACCUAAGGAACGAAGAGAAUCUGAUUUCCAAAGUCACCACAUUAUAAAAAUCAAAUGCCAAUCUUCAACAACAACGAAAACAACAAAAUUCGCAAGGCACAUAAAGAAACAGGAAAAUGGCUCAUUCAAAGGAAUAAAGUGAUUAAUUGGCAUAAACUGUCCCUGAGAAAGCCCAGAUACUAAAGUGACUUGACAUUUGCUCAACUAGAUAAGAGUGUGUUUCGACAAAGAAGUAAAGGAAAUUUGGAACAUAAUAUUUUAUCUAAAGGAGAAUAUCAUCAAACAAAGAAAUUAUAUAAAAGAACCACACAAAAAUUCUGGAGCUGAAAAGUACAGCAACUGAAGUUUUUAAAAUUACUUGCAGAGAUCAACAACGGAUUUGCAGAAGAUUAGUGAACUCGAAGAUAGGAAAAUUGAAAUUAUUGAGUCUGAGGAGCAGAAAAGAAAAAGGAAUGAAUAAAAGUGAAUAGAACCUAAGGAAACUGAGGGACACCAUCAAGCAGAUCAAGGAGAAGAGAGAGGUAAAAAAGAGUAGUAAGAUAAAUAAUAGCCAAAUACCUUCCAAAUAUGAAGAAAGACAUGAAUAUACAGAUAAAAUAACCCCAACAAAUACCAAAUUGGAUAAACCCAAAAACAUCUACACCAAAGCACAUUAUAAUCAAACUGUUGAAAGCCAAACAAUGACAGAAUCUUAAAAGCAAUAACAGCAAGGCAAUUCAACAAAAUAAAAGGGAUGUUCAAUACAAGUAUCAGCCAAUUUCUCAUCAGAAGCCUGGAGGCAAGAAGGCAGAGAAAUAAUAUAUUUAAAGUGCUGAAAAAAGCCAGGCACGGUGACUCAUGCCUGUAAUCCCUGCACUUUGGGAGUCUGAGAUGGGUGAAUCACUUGAGUCAGGAGUUUGAGACCAGCCUGGCGACCAUGGCAAAACUCUGUCUCUACUAAAGAUAGAAAAAUUAGUCGGGUGCAGUGGCGUGCACCUGUAGUACCAGUUACUUGGGAGGCUGAGGCAGGAGAAUCACUUGAAUCUGGGAGGCAGAGGUUGCAGUGAGCUGAGAUCAUACCACUGCACUCCAGCCUGGGCAACAGAGUGAGACUCC